AGGUCUUGGGAUAAUUGGAGUUAAGUGUCCUUAGGUUUGAGUAGUACUGGGCUGGGUGACCUCCUGGGAAGUCCAAACUUAGGAGCUU
rnacentral:rRNA from 1 species